rnacentral:rRNA from 1 species
GACGAACGCUGGCGGCGUGCUUAACACAUGCAAGUCGAGCGGAAAGGCCACUUCGGUGGUACUCGAGCGGCGAACGGGUGAGUAACACGUGAGUAAUCUGCCCUUGGCUUUGGGAUAGCCACCGGAAACGGUGAUUAAUACCGGAUACGACCACUCCAGGCAUCUGGUGAUGGUGGAAAGUUUUUCGGCCAGGGAUGUGCUCGCGGCCUAUCAGCUUGAUGGUGAGGUAAUGGCUCACCAUGGCUUCGACGGGUAGCCGGCCUGAGAGGGUGACCGGUCACACUGGGACUGAGACACGGCCCAGACUCCUACGGGAGGCAGCAGUGGGGAAUAUUGGACAAUGGGCGGAAGCCUGAUCCAGCAACGCCGCGUGAGGGAUGACGGCCUUCGGGUUGUAAACCUCUUUCGGUAGGGACGAAGCGCAAGUGACGGUGCCUACUAAAGAAGCACCGGCCAACUACGUG